rnacentral:rRNA from 1 species
GGGACACGUGGUAUCCUGUCUGAAUAUGGGGGGACCAUCCUCCAAGGCUAAAUACUCCUGACUGACCGAUAGUGAACCAGUACCGUGAGGGAAAGGCGAAAAGAACCCCGGCGAGGGGAGUGAAAAAGAACCUGAAACCGUGUACGUACAAGCAGUGGGAGCACGCUUAGGCGUGUGACUGCGUACCUUUUGUAUAAUGGGUCAGCGACUUAUAUUCUGUAGCAAGGUUAACCGAAUAGGGGAGCCGAAGGGAAACCGAGUCUUAACUGGGCGUUAAGUUGCAGGGUAUAGACCCGAAACCCGGUGAUCUAGCCAUGGGCAGGUUGAAGGUUGGGUAACACUAACUGGAGGACCGAACCGACUAAUGUUGAAAAAUUAGCGGAUGACUUGUGGCUGGGGGUGAAAGGCCAAUCAAACCGGGAGAUAGCUGGUUCUCCCCGAAAGCUAUUUAGGUAGCGCCUCGUGAAUUCAUCUCCGGGGGUAGAGCACUGUUUCGGCAAGGGGGUCAUCCCGACUUACCAACCCGAUGCAAACUGCGAAUACCGGAGAAUGUUAUCACGGGAGACACACGGCGGGUGCUAACGUCCGUCGUGAAGAGGGAAACAACCCAGACCGCCAGCUAAGGUCCCAAAGUCAUGGUUAAGUGGGAAACGAUGUGGGAAGGCCCAGACAGCCAGGAUGUUGGCUUAGAAGCAGCCAUCAUUUAAAGAAAGCGUAAUAGCUCACUGGUCGAGUCGGCCUGCGCGGAAGAUGUAACGGGGCUAAACCAUGCACCGAAGCUGCGGCAGCGACACUAUGUGUUGUUGGGUAGGGGAGCGUUCUGUAAGCCUGUGAAGGUGUGCUGUGAGGCAUGCUGGAGGUAUCAGAAGUGCGAAUGCUGACAUAAGUAACGAUAAAGCGGGUGAAAAGCCCGCUCGCCGGAAGACCAAGGGUUCCUGUCCAACGUUAAUCGGGGCAGGGUGAGUCGACCCCUAAGGCGAGGCCGAAAGGCGUAGUCGAUGGGAAACAGGUUAAUAUUCCUGUACUUGGUGUUACUGCGAAGGGGGGACGGAGAAGGCUAUGUUGGCCGGGCGACGGUUGUCCCGGUUUAAGCGUGUAGGCUGGUUUUCCAGGCAAAUCCGGAAAAUCAAGGCUGAGGCGUGAUGACGAGGCACUACGGUGCUGAAGCAACAAAUGCCCUGCUUCCAGGAAAAGCCUCUAAGCAUCAGGUAACAUCAAAUCGUACCCCAAACCGACACAGGUGGUCAGGUAGAGAAUACCAAGGCGCUUGAGAGAACUCGGGUGAAGGAACUAGGCAAAAUGGUGCCGUAACUUCGGGAGAAGGCACGCUGAUAUGUAGGUGAAGCGACUUGCUCGUGGAGCUGAAAUCAGUCGAAGAUACCAGCUGGCUGCAACUGUUUAUUAAAAACACAGCACUGUGCAAACACGAAAGUGGACGUAUACGGUGUGACGCCUGCCCGGUGCCGGAAGGUUAAUUGAUGGGGUCAGCGCAAGCGAAGCUCUUGAUCGAAGCCCCGGUAAACGGCGGCCGUAACUAUAACGGUCCUAAGGUAGCGAAAUUCCUUGUCGGGUAAGUUCCGACCUGCACGAAUGGCGUAAUGAUGGCCAGGCUGUCUCCACCCGAGACUCAGUGAAAUUGAACUCGCUGUGAAGAUGCAGUGUACCCGCGGCAAGACGGAAAGACCCCGUGAACCUUUACUAUAGCUUGACACUGAACAUUGAGCCUUGAUGUGUAGGAUAGGUGGGAGGCUUUGAAGUGUGGACGCCAGUCUGCAUGGAGCCGACCUUGAAAUACCACCCUUUAAUGUUUGAUGUUCUAACGUUGACCCGUAAUCCGGGUUGCGGACAGUGUCUGGUGGGUAGUUUGACUGGGGCGGUCUCCUCCUAAAGAGUAACGGAGGAGCACGAAGGUUGGCUAAUCCUGGUCGGACAUCAGGAGGUUAGUGCAAUGGCAUAAGCCAGCUUGACUGCGAGCGUGACGGCGCGAGCAGGUGCGAAAGCAGGUCAUAGUGAUCCGGUGGUUCUGAAUGGAAGGGCCAUCGCUCAACGGAUAAAAGGUACUCCGGGGAUAACAGGCUGAUACCGCCCAAGAGUUCAUAUCGACGGCGGUGUUUGGCACCUCGAUGUCGGCUCAUCACAUCCUGGGGCUGAAGUAGGUCCCAAGGGUAUGGCUGUUCGCCAUUUAAAGUGGUACGCGAGCUGGGUUUAGAACGUCGUGAGACAGUUCGGUCCCUAUCUGCCGUGGGCGCUGGAGAACUGAGGGGGGCUGCUCCUAGUACGAGAGGACCGGAGUGGACGCAUCACUGGUGUUCGGGUUGUCAUGCCAAUGGCACUGCCCGGUAGCUAAAUGCGGAAGAGAUAAGUGCUGAAAGCAUCUAAGCACGAAACUUGCCCCGAGAUGAGUUCUCCCUGACUCCUUGAGAGUCCUGAAGGAACGUUGAAGACGACGACGUUGAUAGGCCGGGUGUGUAAGCGCAGCGAUGCGUUGAGCUAACCGGUACUAAUGAACCGUGAG